rnacentral:lncRNA from 1 species
GUUGAGGUUGUUGUAUUCAUCACCUGAUGCUGCAUUGCAAAAUGCAGGCUGAUCGGGAUUGUUAUUCUUUUAUCCCUAUUUGAAUAAAAUAUUACUUAUAAAAAAAAAAAAAAUUCGUCCAUCGUUAUUAUCAGGAUAAAAUUAAAAUGAGAGUAGCUAGAUAGUGAGACAAUCCCCGCCAUUGAAACUCCAAUUACCAUAGUCAUCAGUCGGUGUUCUCUCCCUAAUCUCUUACCCCGCUAUUGCUGCAAUUCCCUCCUCAGUCGUUGUUCUCUCCCUACUUCCCUACUCCUUCUGCUUCAUAAUUCUCCCGUUUUGCUACAAUUCCCUCCUCAGUCGGUGUUCUUUCUUAUAUUUGUUCUUAACCUUAAUUACAAAUUGUCUAUAUCGUCUUCUCGAUGCAGUUUGGAGGUUGUUUGUUCUUCCGCCUCCCAUAUCUUCUUUCAUUUUUUGUAUUGAUAUAGACUCGGUUGAACAUAUUAUCAGUCUUUUCCUAUCUAUCUAUCUUAUUAGAUCGUUCGCUUACUUCUUCAUCAUUAAUUAAAAAAAAAAAAUUUAUUUAUCAAAUGUUUCUACAAAAAAUUUAUUUAUCAAAUGUUUCUACUAUAGGUACUAUUGUGUUAUAAAUUUGUUCUUCUACUUACAAAAAUAAAAUGAAUUUCUUUUAUAUUUAGUUUUCUUUUUUUAAUAAUCUCUUCUAUGCUGUAUUUUUCUGAUAUUGAUCUUUCUCUUAUAUAUUUUUUUGGAUACAGGAUCGGUGCCUCUGGUAUGGACUUGCUUAGUAAAGCAAAGGUGGGUUUUCGUUAAUUAAUUUGCACCUUCUCCACUAUUAAAAAAAAAUGCCCCCAAUCUUACCGCCUUCAUCUCUAUAUAUAUCUCUGAUCGUCUCUAUUUGUUCUUUUUCAGGUUGACUAGCCAAGACAUAUUUCCCUACAACUCUUUUUCAGGUUGACUAACCACUCUGAUCAUAUUUAAUCUCUCCUGUUACUUUCUUUUCCUUAAUUUUCUUUUCUUUACUAAUGUAGUACUUUUCUUUCUUUAUUUCUUUGUUCUCAAAUUGGUAGUGUUUGUUCUAAAAUCUGUAUGGCAUUAACUGAAAUUAUCCGGCAGUCACAUUUAAACAAAACUACCCUUUCAUUUUCUGUCAAUACCCUUUCAAUACCCCUCCACAUAUAAUUUUCAAUACCCUUUCAGAUAUAAUUUUCUGUCAAUACCCUUUCAUUUUCUGUCAAGUUGUUUCUGUUAAACAAAAGCAACUUCACAGAAAAUGACGUCAACAAUAAUGUUGAAUGUUAUUAAAUCUUUCCAGUUGUAUGUUCUUAAAUCUUUUAAUAAAUAUCUCUCUAUAAUUUUGUAGUUGCAAUCACCUCAACCAUUUGCAGUUGCUCCGCAGUUUCUUCCGCGUCCCUCGCAUUCACCUCAGGUUCUUCCCAACUUAUUCGUUCCUGUAUUUAUAUAUAAUAUACAUACAUGAGCCUCUAGAUUUUCCUAUAUGAUCUCUGGCCUUUUAGGUUGUUUUUAUAUAUAUUUACUUUCACAUGACUCUGUCUUCAUUUGAAUCAACUUUUAGAUUUGGUAUAUGAUAUAUAUACUUGAACCUUUAGAUUUGGUCUUGAAUAUAUUUCCCUACAACUCUUUUUCAGGUUGACUAACCACUCUGAUCAUAUUUAAUCUCUCCUGUUACUUUCUUUUCCUUAAUUUUCUUUUCUUUACUAAUGUAGUACUCUUCUUUCUUUAUUUCUUUGUUCUCAAAUUGGUAGUGUUUGUUCUAAAAUCUGUAUGGCAUUAACUGAAAUUAUCCGGCAAUCACAUUUAAACAAAACUACCAAUAUUAGCAUCAUGUUAACCUGUUACAUGUUUAUGUCAAUACCCUGUGAUUAUGUCAAUCCUAUCCUGUCAAUACCCUUUCAUUUUCUGUCAAGUUGUUUCUGUUAAACAAAAGCAACUUCACAGAAAAUGACGUCAACAAUAAUGUUGAAUGUUAUACAAUCUUUCCAGUUGUAUGUUCUUAAAUCUUUUAAUAAAGAUCUCUCUGUAAUUUUGUAGUUGCAAUCACCUCAACCAUUUGCACUUGCUCCGCAGUCUCUUCCGCGUCCCUCGCAUUCACCUCAGGUUCUUCCCAACUUAUUCGUUCCUGUAUUUAUAUAUAAUAUACAUACAUGAGCCUCUAGAUUUUCCUAUAUGAUCUCUGGCCCUUUAGGUUGUUUUUAUAUAUGUUUACUUUCACAUGACUCUGUCUUCCUUUGAAUCAACUUUUAGAUUUGGUAUAUAUACAUGAUAUAUAUAUAUUGAACUUUUAUAAGUUAUGUGUUUUCAUUGAACUUACAUGUUAUCGCACUGGAAUAAACUUGCCCUUCAUGACCAUGCCAGCUUCUAUGAGUAUUCAAAGAAGGAUUAUUCUGGGAGCUUUUUUAUCUGAGUUGGUCCUGACAUAUCCUUAUUGUCCAGAGGCCAAACAAAGUACAGGUACAAAACUUCGUACACCGAUAUUUUUCAACAGAUUUAAAUUAUUUGACAUAACCCUACAAUUCUUAUUUUAUUUUUUUUUAAUUUUUUUCUCAGAUUAGGACAAGAUACGCUAUCUUUAUGAUAAGUUCAUGAUGUUUAUCCUCACAUAAUCUCUGAAAAUAGUUCUUAAUGGUGAUGAUUAAAAUAAACAAAAUAGAUGAGUCAGAAGUAUGAUGAUCAUGAGUAUGCUCUUCAAAAUACAUUGGUAACAAAGUGGUUUUGUGGUCGAUGAUGACAAAAAUAAAUUAUAUUUGGCAACAACUAGGGAUACAUCCAAUAGAAGUAUCAAAAGGACAUUAGUCCACCCAGACAUGAGAAUGCAUAUUUCACUAUUUUGAACUCCUACCGCAGCCCACUGUCCUGCAUACUGAACCAUCAACCAACAGUUCAUAGAAUGCAUAUUUUUCACAAUUAUGAUGAGUGUUUGGGAACAUGUUUUCUACUGUUUGCAGUGUUCAGUUAUUUGAAUAGUACUAUUUGUUUCAGUAUUCUUAUUUGUGUAUUUGAUUGUGUUUUAAUCUGCUUUCAGACAGCUGACGAAGAGAAAGCUUUGUGUGAGCAGGGCAACAGUGUUCGAACUGCAAAAGAUAGUGUUCCUGUAGCAUCUGACGUGGACAGAGCUGCAAAGCAUUACAGAAGCAAAUGGAAGGUACUUAUCCUUUGUUGUUGUUUAUGAGCACAUGUCUUUGUGUCUCCUGCGGAUUCCUGAUUGUUGAUUUUAUUUGGUGGUGGAGGCAAGGAAUUAGGGCAUUCAGCAGGACUAUCAGCAGAACAUAUAAAGCAGCAGAACAUAUAAAGCAGCAGAACUAUCAGCAGGACUAUAGUCAGCACGACUAUCAGCAGGACUAUCAGCGUGACUAUCAGCAGGACUAUCAGCAGGACUAUCAGCGUGACUAUCAGCAGGACUAUCAGCGUGAAAUUGUUUUACGUGACUAUCAGCAGGACAUAUAAAGCAGCGUGACUACCAGCAGGCGCCCAUCUUUGAAGCAACUGACUACCAGCAGGACAUAUAAAUAUGUACUAAUAAAUUAACGCUGCUACGACCAUAUAUUUUGUACUUCUUUUUUGGGUCUGUAAUAUAUAGAUUUACUAUACCACAUAUAUUGAAGGCAAAUUCCAUCAGGCAAAAACAAAGGAGCUAUUGUCUAUAUUCCAAAAAAAUUU